rfam:Ixodes scapularis strain Wikel colony gcontig_1108379691042, whole genome shotgun sequence.
GCCUCCGUGGCGCAAUCGGCUAGCGCGUUCGGCUGUUAACCGGAAGGCUGGAGGUUCGAGCCCUCCCGGAGGCG